rnacentral:rRNA from 1 species
GACGAACGCUGGCGGCGUGCCUAAUACAUGCAAGUAGAACGCAGUUGCGAACGGGUGAGGAACGCGUAGGUAACUGCCUCAUAGCGGGGGAUAACGAUUGGAAACGAUAGCUAAUACAGCAUACUGUGAGAGGGACCUGCGUUGUAUUAGCUAGUGGGUGAGGUAAAGGCUCAACAAGGCGACGAUACAUAGCCGACCUGGGAGGGUGGUCGACUACACUGGGACUGAGACACGGCCCAGAAUCCUGCCGGAGGCAGCAGUAGGGAAUCUUCGGCCAUGGACGGAAGUCUGACCCAGCAACGCCGCGUGAGUGAAGAAGGUUUUCGGGUCGUAAAGCUCUGUUAUUUGAGAAGCGGUACCUACACAAAAAGGAACGGCUAACUACGUGCCAGCAGCCGCGGUAAUUC